rnacentral:rRNA from 1 species
GCAUACGUCCUACGGGAGAAAGGGGGCUUUGGCUCCCGCUAUUGGAUGAGCCUAUGUCGGAUUAGCUAGUUGGUGAGGUAAUGGCUCACCAAGGCAACGAUCCGUAGCUGGUCUGAGAGGAUGAUCAGCCACAUCGGGACUGAGACACGGCCCGAACUCCUACGGGAGGCAGCAGUGGGGAAUAUUGGACAAUGGGGGCAACCCUGAUCCAGCCAUGCCGCGUGUGUGAAGAAGGCCCUCGGGUUGUAAAGCACUUUCAGCGAGGAAGAACGCCUAGCGGUUAAUACCCGCUAGGAAAGACAUCACUCGCAGAAGAAGCACCGGCUAACUCCGUGCCAGCAGCCGCGGUAAUACGGAGGGUGCAAGCGUUAAUCGGAAUUACUGGGCGUAAAGCGCGCGUAGGUGGCUUGAUAAGCCGGUUGUGAAAGCCCCGGGCUCAACCUGGGAACGGCAUCCGGAACUGUCAGGCUAGAGUGCAGGAGAGGAAGGUAGAAUUCCCGGUGUAGCGGUGAAAUGCGUAGAGAUCGGGAGGAAUACCAGUGGCGAAGGCGGCCUUCUGGACUGACACUGACACUGAGGUGCGAAAGCGUGGGUAGCAAACAGGAUUAGAUACCCUGGUAGUCCACGCCGUAAACGAUGUCGACCAGCCGUUGGGUGCCUAGCGCACUUUGUGGCGAAGUUAACGCGAUAAGUCGACCGCCUGGGGAGUACGGCCGCAAGGUUAAAACUCAAAUGAAUUGACGGGGGCCCGCACAAGCGGUGGAGCAUGUGGUUUAAUUCGAUGCAACGCGAAGAACCUUACCUACCCUUGACAUCCUGCGAACCCGGAAGAGAUUCCGGGGUGCCUUCGGGAACGCAGAGACAGGUGCUGCAUGGCUGUCGUCAGCUCGUGUUGUGAAAUGUUGGGUUAAGUCCCGUAACGAGCGCAACCCUUGUCCUUAUUUGCCAGCGAGUAAUGUCGGGAACUCUAAGGAGACUGCCGGUGACAAACCGGGGGAAGGUGGGGACGACGUCAGGUCAUCAUGGCCCUUACGGGUAGGGCUACACACGUGCUACAAUGGCCGGUACAAAGGGCUGCGAGCUCGCGAGAGUCAGCGAAUCCCUUAAAGCCGGUCUCAGUCCGGAUCGGAGUCUGCAACUCGACUCCGUGAAGUCGGAAUCGCUAGUAAUCGUGAAUCAGAAUGUCACGGUGAAUACGUUCCC